GGCCUUGUAGCUCAGUGUUUAGAGCACUGGCUUUAUAAACCAGAGCCCACCGGCCCAGCCAUGAAGAAGAGCACCUCCUCGCACAGCUCUGCACCUUCCCUGGGCAGUGCCU
rnacentral:tRNA from 1 species